CGGGAAGUCGAUCCGUGACACAGGGUCUACAAGGGACAUGGUUGUUCUUGUCUCCGAUGGCGUGUCCGACUACGCCAAGCAGCUUCUCAAGGCUGAUGGUUGGAUGGUGGGAGCUUAUAAGUCUGUUGGCUAAUCCUAAUCAAGUGCGCCCACAGAGAUUUUGGGGAGUCUACACCAAAUUAAAAAUAUUUAACAUGACAAGGUAUAAGAAAGUCGUCUAUCUUGAUGCUGAUACGAUAGUGCUGAAGAAUAUUGAUGAACUGUUCAAA